GUAAAGUAUUUGAUGCUAACCAGAUAUUUUUGAAUCCCGCGUAGUUAUCUUAUAUAACCCUGUAAACUCUUUCGCCGCCCCAAAAUUGUAGCUUUGCGCCUCUUUCUUGAACUGGUUAAUCUUUCUUGCUCAUCCAAGUAAGAACUAAAGGCAAAUCAAGGUAAUUGUUUUCUCUCUUUAAGUUUCUCAUUUUGUAGCCCUUUUUUGACUUUCCUCUUCUUGUUUUAUUGGGAGAUGAUAUACUCACCGUGGUUAAAUCCCGCUAUGAAUCCCGAUUGGGAAUCCAACGUUUCUAGAAGUUUUUUCUUAACAGAAUCGUUUAGGACUUAUCUUGGUCACGUGUUCCAAUGUUGAGCUAACCAGUAUUUGACGUCCCUAGGUUCAGCCAGAAGCUCUUUUUUACUGCGAGAAAUAACCCAUUCCCUUGCGAUUUAUGCCAACUUUUGGUGUUUCAGCUUUGAUUGCAAACCGUGAUGACCAAAAAUCCAAGUAAAGAUCAAGACUGGACGCCAGUUUGCUACGCGCGGCUUCUCACCUUCCUUCCUUGUGUGGGACAAUAUUUAUCCUACUUAAAUAAUCUCCAAUUCCAAUGACUCUUAGGAUUUUCUUUUAAAUAAAACUUUAAAACUAUGGCAAGAGAAGUUUGGCUCAAGACCUGUUUGGUAAAAAGUCUUAAUGACCACUCCUGUUUCGUGCAUCAUCUUUCCAAAUCUCUUCCUUUCUGAUGGGUGUCUCUAGCAAUAACCUUCAUACCAAGAUUAUAAGCAACUGAGACAACAUCCUUGGUAGUUCGAUGUUGUGAAUCCUUGGAGUUUGCAGUAACAACAUCCCUCUUUAUAGAAGAACAAAGGUGAGUUUCCAUAAUCUCACGUACCUUGGACGAUGUUUCUUCAGCUGAUGUUCGUAAUCUUCAAUCUGUUAAUUAACCAAUAAUGUUAGUGCAUCAAGAGUGUAUGACCUCUUCGUGUUAUUUCCUAAGUUCCCUUUUCUACUUUGUCCACAAGAAAGUGUUUAGGAUAUGUGUGUGGCCUAGUCGUUGAUUGCCUUUGUGUAGCUACUCUUCCAACUGCCUGUAGUUUGUAUGUUUAGAUGACAAUUAUUGAUCCACCAUGAAUCCUAUGCUUUGAUUUCUCGUGCAAGGAUCUUCCCUUUGGUAGCUAAAUCUUGCUUUGCCACUUCACUUGGACUGGAACGGCAGCACCACAUCAACCAAUAUGUACUUGUCAGUUGUCUUUGCUUGGGACUGGGUUGGUUGAUCACUCUGUUUGUUUUCAAACUUGAGAAAUCUCCAAUGGGUGGCACACGUUAUAAAAUCCCAUUAGCCUCCGCUUUUCAUUCAAUCACGUCCGUAUCAACUUGUGAAAAGUGUAGCCGUCAACACUAGAAAUUCGACAACUUGUGAAACUCUCAAAGUCCUAGUCCUUGUAAAAUAUUUAUUUCCUUUCACGGCGGUUAAUAUCACUUUAAAUGAGCGUCCUCGCACCUCCUUUCACUGCCCACAACAGAAGUUUGCUACCAGCUCAGGUAACUCGAGCACUGUCUCUGCACCUAUCUUAGUUAUUUCCUUUAAGGUCGCUAGUAGUCUUUGAACUUUACGAUACUUGAUUUUCUUUUAACUAUGCUUGAUUAUCAUCAAGAUGUCCAGCAACUUGUCAUCACCUUCCACGAAAGAAACUUUAUAUGAUUGAUCAUAACAUGCAAUCGGAUUAGACUCCUCAGGAGAUGCACCACAAGAACCGCAUAACUAUUCUUGUUAGCAUCCUUUGCAAUCAGCUACGUCAUAACUGAUUAGCCUCUAGGAUAUAUCAGUGGUCUGUAGUCAUACCGAAGACAGCUUCCUUCAAUAGUGAACAUUCAAAGUUCUUGGUUUUCUCUUUAAUAGAAAAUGUUCCAAGCUAUCUACUUUUCUCUUUAAUAGAAAAUAUUUGGAGACAUAUGCGCGCGUGAAAUGUUUCUUAACAACAUCGAGGAUUUUACCCUAUUUGAAUGCAGCUUUCUCCUGUAUUUUAUUAGGUACAUUCUUUUCCGUUGUCAGAAAUGAUCAUCACUGGUACAUCAAAUCUGCAAGUUUUUGCAGAUGUCUGUCGCCCCUAUUCUUACCAAAGCUACUGCUUCUACCCAUUUAUUGAAGUAGUAAGUUGCAGCUAAUAAAUACUUGACGCCCCCCAGUGCAGCUGGAAAAAAACCUACAAUAUCCAAUCCUCACUUAUUGAACGUCCACGGGCUAACAACCAGAUGCAACUCAUUCGUUGGUCUCUUUAUAAGAGGGCCAUGCAUCUGACAAGACAAACAUUUUCUUAUAUAAUCCCUGUGUCACUCUGCAUAUAAGGCCGGAAGUACUAUUGAGAUCCUAUGCACUAGACUCCUUCCUUCAUAAUGAUCCUCACAGCACCCUUCAUGUGCCUCAACGAAGAAUUGCUUCCCUUACUCUCUAGUAACACAAGGAAGAUUAUGCCACACUUUAGACUUUUGUAGCUCGUAUCUGAUCGACAUUCCCAUACUGCCAGUCGACGCAUGCUUAUAUGACUAACUAAGUAUUGGUUCUCAGAUGAAUUUGUGGACGUGUUUACGACCUCCAUCCUCACCAAAGCUAUUACCUGAAGCCAUUUGGUGAUGCAGUCAAUUGCAGAUAGCAAGUUGUACACUCCCCCAAAUGCGUUGCAGUCUUUAGUCCAGAGACUAUUGCUUCAUACUCCGAUUGAUUGUUUAAAGCUGUAAAUCUUAGUUGGACGGCUUUUUCUCCUGGAAAACAAGUACACAGCCGAAACCUUUACCAUCCGUGUCUGCUGAUCCGUAAGUGUAAAUUUUCCAUGUUCUCUAUCUCCCCUAAGUAUUUCUUCUGAGUCUUUGAUACUCUCCUACAUAUAACUUUUAAUGCUUUUUUACUUGCUUUUACAUGUUCCCUUGGAAAUGUCUUUGAGACUCCAAGUGAACACAUCUUUACUUUCUUUCAAAAGAGUAAACAAGCUGUCUUUCCCAUCUACGGGCGGUUUCGCACCAAUAAAAAUUGUAUGCUCUUUGUUGAUCCCGGAUUUGUAUCUCUAUCAACUCUUCAAUAGUUGUUAGUUCCUCCUUCCCUCUUCCUCGAUAAGAGGUUGGGUUCCUCGAUUACAGGCUGGGUAGCACUGCGGUUGCUAUCUCUCCGAACCUUUUAUUUCUGACCUUUUGUACUCUUCUUUGUUCUUCGUCUCAUGCUCUUAUUGGAAUUUUUUGUUUUCCGUUGGUAUUUCUGGACAGAUCUGUAACACAGCAACAUCUGUUGAUGUUUCUGACAGAUCUAUAACAGUGGAUCAAUUGUUGUUAGGACUUUUCUUUAACGCUUCAGGAUCUGUUACAUAAACUUUUCUUCCAAAAAAAGCUUGGAAAAACAACUUAUUUCGCAAGGGGAGAACGAUCAAGGGUUCGUGUCCCCUUAGCCGGCCCCAAAAUAUGUUGGUGCAAAAAUAUCCACACCAACACUCUUCGAGAUGCGUGUAGAUGGAUUAAAUCUCCUUCAUUGAUUAGAUUCCUCCAAAGAUGCUAAUGAAAUUGUGAUUGAUAUCGAUUGACUAAUCUC